rnacentral:rRNA from 1 species
UACGUAGGGGGCAAGCGUUGUCCGGAUUUAUUGGGCGUAAAGAGCGUGUAGGCGGCCAGACAGGUCCGUUGUGAAAACUGGGGGCUCAACCUCCAGACGUCGAUGGAAACCGUCUGGCUAGAGUCCGGAAGAGGAGAGUGGAAUUCCUGGUGUAGCGGUGAAAUGCGCAGAUAUCAGGAAGAACACCCGUGGCGAAAGCGGCUCUCUGGGACGGUACUGACGCUGAGACGCGAAAGCGUGGGGAGCGAACAGG